UUGAUCCUACGGGAGGCAGCAGUGGGGAAUAUUGCACAAUGGGGGAAACCCUGAUGCAGCGACGCCGCGUGAGUGAGGAAGUAUUUCGGUAUGUAAAGCUCUAUCAGCAGGGAAGAAAAUGACGGUACCUGACUAAGAAGCCCCGGCUAACUACGUGCCAGCAGCCGCGGUAAUACGUAUGGAGCAAGCGUUAUCCGGAUUUACUGGGUGUAAAGGGAGAGUAGGUGGCAGAGCAAGUCCGAAGUGAAAACCCAAAGCUCAACUAUGGGAAUGCUUUAGAAACUGCUCAGCUAGAGUGCAGGAGA
rnacentral:rRNA from 1 species